CUUAUAUCACACAAAAUUAUAUUUUGCCCUGUUCUAUCAAAAGUGUUAAAAACUUAUCAAUAAUCAUCUGGCUUUCUUGACGUCUAUAGUAUUCUCUCUGGUAUGUGUAGAGGACUGCUAAUUCCUAUGUAGGUGACAUUACAUUACUGCUAAUUCCUAUGUAGGUGACAUUACACUACUAUAGCUGAGACACAUAGUAAAACAGGUUGGGCCCCAUACAGGAUAUCUCUCACACACACACACUCACUGUAAUCAUCCAGAACACUGUCACAACAGGAUACUCCUAGCCACAGGUGCUAGCCGGCAGUUCGGCCACAACUCCCCUGAAGAUAGGGACGCAUACGCUCUUACACACUGACCCCAGAAGACAGGGACGACGCACAUACAGUACACACAUAGCUGCCGAGGACACCCAGAUAAGACACCCACAGAUUGGCAGAAAGCCUAGACUUAGAGACAUACUAACACACACACAUAAUCUCCCUCCCAGCCGAACAUUGUGUGACUGAAGAUAGCGCACACACCAGAUCUCCUUUUCAGCUGAACGGGGCGUGACGACCAAGAACAGGCAUGGCAGGAUUCUACGAUGACGGACAGACAACAGAGCCAAUGCCGGAUGACUACACCCCAGCCUGAUCCAAUCCGAAGAUCCGAUCUCCUAGAUAUCAACCUACUUUCUGUUCUGUAUAUGAAGCUUGUACCCAUUGUUAGCUAGUGGCUUUUUUGCUAGUCUCUGAUGAGCUAACAGAGGGGCCCGUAUAUACGCUGUACCAGAUAUCUCCACUUUGAAAUAAACCUGUCGCUUGUCGUACAAUCUACCACCUUGUCUGCAUCGAUCCUUGACCGACUCACCCUUUAUCAUAUCCCAUUAUCAACAGAAAUGGUAGCAGAGGAUGGUUUAAUAACGAUCCAUCAAAGUGAGUUGAUUUGGGUGUGAGAGGGAGAGAGGGUGAAAGGACGAUUCACGGAGGACAGAGGUGAAGGAAUUCGGGGGAGGACAACAAUUCUGCUCAACUCGGUAAACUGAUCACAAGGCGCACCACAAACAAGGUGAACUACAGGUGAAGUCACUCAAUCCAGUCCCAGAGGCUUGGGGACCAUAGAUGACCCCUGGUGACAGCUAGCUGAAAGAGCUACCCAGAUUCAUAUCGCACGGCGGAAGGGUAAGACACUUUUCACUGUCGGACAUUAAAACAGUGUUCGAGAGAAGAACUGGAAUUAACAGAAUUCCGGGGGCCAACUCUCGAAUGAAGUAACCCUAAGUGAUGUGUAUUUUGUUCCAAAAUGAGCAUAAGAGAUCCCUAGAUCGGGGUAGACAAGAAGUUAGAGUAGAGAUUACAUGAUAACCGACUUCGGACAGUUCUAGGAUUGGAGAAGAGGGUAUCCUUAUAGCAAGGGGGAUCCCACAAGGGUGGAUAGGUUUUCCAUGAUAUGGGGAAACCUGGGAGCAAUGUUGAACUUUGUAAAGGUGAUGAAAUCCUACUAACCAUCAAAACUAUUAAGCUCUCUGAUGCAGGCACUCACACCCUCGGACUACAAAGGACGAGGACAGACAUGAUGGGUGUGUUUUCUAUUAAGGUACUGCCAAGACCAGAGGUAACCGGACACACUCCUCUACCACCACUGUGUUAAAAAUACCAUUCAGGUAAUUAAUGUUAGAGACUAUUCGGCUAUUGAUCAAUUAGGAACUGAGACUGGUUUUGAUAGUAGGGACAAUUUGUGGCUGUCUUAUAUGAGGUACACAGCUAAAACCCUGAGAGGAAAGGACUGCAUUAUUUGUAGUCAUGCUAGACCUGUUCUGGCUACACACCCAUUUGCUGUAGGAGAAGGAGAGGGGUGGUUGUGUAUUCUGAGAAGUUUUUACCAGGUUAAGCCCAAUUCAACCCUCUGUUCCUCUUUGAGCCUUGUGUUUCCUGCAGUACCUCCUCAUCGGGCCUCUUGGGGUGUUGAGGCAUAUGGGGGCAAUUAAGAGUGCAUCACGGGUACAGGUAAUGGCAUUGAUUAUGGGGAUUACCUGAAGCUGAUUGCAGUAGUAACAUAACCAUUAAUUCCACUUGGCCAGUUACAGGCUGAUGUGAGGUGGAUGAGUGGAGCCAAGAGUGCUGAGACCCAUUCUUAGAGGAGAAUGGCAAGGUACGUGUGCUCUGACCAGUUUGAUAAUUCCACUGACCAUUGUUGAUGUUACUGCUGAACAGCUGUUGGGUUCUGUAUCCAAGGGACCUGAAAACAUUCCAUCCCAUGGGAGACAUAGACGUAGCGCUCAGAGAAUGUAGUUGACAUAAACACUAACCUGUUGGGUGUGCCAGUGGGGGUUCCUCAUGAGUUUCAGGCCUUGGGUAGGAAUGAUGGACUCUGGCACUUACUACCUACUAUGGGUCCAGCCAUGGUGGAUGCUAGACAGACUGCAUGGAUUAAUUAUAUCUACUAUAAUCAACAGCGGUUUGUGAAUUACUCCGUGAUGCACUCACUGGUAUGUCUGAACAGCUUGAGGCCACAUUUGGGGUUUCCAGACAGAAUAGACUUGCCUUGGAUAUGCUUCUUGCCAGUCAGGGGGACGUUUGCAAGAUGUUCGGUAAACAAUGUUGCACGUAUAUUCCUAAUAAUACCAGUCCAGAUGAUAUCUAGGGCGGGCUUGAUGCACUAUCUGAUAAGAUGAGGUCCACAGGGGGGGUGGAGGAGUCUGUUCUCUUGGCCUGGUUUGGUAAGUACACUGAUAUGAUGGUUACUGGAUUUCUGACCCUAAUUCUUGUAUUAUUUGUUAUUGAUGUGAUGUGCUGCUUGCAUCAUACCGUGUUCUAAGAAAUAUGUUACAGAUAUGGUGAAGGCUUCAGGCAUGUUGCCUUUGCUUGAUGCUCCAGUUGGAGAUGCCGAUACGGAAGACUGCUUUCAGGAGAGGAUGGGACUGACUGAGGAUGACCCAUGGUAUGAUGUGGGUGAGGUAGUAGAAUAAUUUUACACCACCACAGUUCCUUGUUAUACAUUUUUAUGAUAGGUUUUCUUUCCAGUAUGUUUGUUCUCCCUGUUGUAAAGGUUUAGAGUCCCUGGGUGGCAAGGAGCCCACCUGAUACAGGAUAGGAGUAGCUGAGAGGACCAGAUGGUUUCUAAUAAUUCUUUCCUCUGUUUUCCAUGACCAAAGUUUUAUCCUACAUCUUACAUGUCAAUAACAAUAAAGUUUUAUCCUGUUUUUGAUAAGUGACACCCUUGUGGGUGUCAAAAGGGGGAAACGCAUAUAACAAUAGACAUAUAUCACUUGUUAUUAAUAAUAAACUUUUUAUUAUUUUCAUGAAAUGCUAUGACUGCUGAAAUAAAGGAUAAUGAGUGUCAAAAGGGGGACUUUAAAUUUCACACCCUUGGGGUUAUUUUACAUUAUAGCCAUUACCAUAUAUAUUAUCUGCUGUUGCCUUGGGUGGAUGUGUGUAUGUGUUAUGUUCUCUAGCUGAUUUGAAACAUUGUUGAAAGUAUCAGGGCCAUGGAACUUUCUCAUGCUGGGAAAAUACAGAAGGGAGGGCACAUUCAGAGCGUGGGGUUGCGAGAACAAGCAGUCUUUUGUUAGAUAACAGGAGCCAGGUGCGAGAUAACGGUAUGGAGCAUGAGACCCAUCUUUUAGUUUUUGCAGCCAUUUUAGUGUUGUGCGGCUGCGGUUGCAUUCCAUGUAUCCGGUCCCUUACUGCUAGAGUUAUCUCCAGAGCUAUUGACCCUUCUUCCCCUUCCCAGAUGUAUCCUCUGCUUGCUAAUGACCUGCCAGAGUUUGAGGAUGAGGUGGAGAAUACCCUUUAGAGAGUGUCACAUCUCUUUGGAGAUGUGAAGAGAGGGUAUCACAACUUUUCCUGCUGGAAAAGGUUGGCUUAUGUGGACAAACAUUUUACUUAUAGCUUAGAGCUGUUGUUCUCCGCAAUUGUUAAAUGAGGGUUGUAAGUUCCUAGGUGGCUGGUAGCCAACUUAGUACAUAGUGGGAUUGAGUGGAGAACUUGGUGGUAAUACAUAUACAUCCAUUUCUUUUUAAUGUUGUGCCUUUUUCAUAGCCCCUUUGGGAAAAGUUUUCUUUUGUAUCAGAAUCUAGUUAGGUUGUGUCACGUCUCUGGGGAGAUGUGAAGAGAGGGAUUUGUAGAGGACUGCUAAUUCCUAUGUAGGUGACAUUACAUUACUGCUAAUUCCUAUGUAGGUGACAUUACACUACUAUAGCUGAGACACAUAGUAAAACAGGUUGGGCCCCAUACAGGAUAUCUCUCACACACACACACUCACUGUAAUCAUCCAGAACACUGUCACAACAGGAUACUCCUAGCCACAGGUGCUAGCCGGCAGUUCGGCCACAACUCCCCUGAAGAUAGGGACGCAUACGCUCUUACACACUGACCCCAGAAGACAGGGACGACGCACAUACAGUACACACAUAGCUGCCGAGGACACCCAGAUAAGACACCCACAGAUUGGCAGAAAGCCUAGACUUAGAGACAAACUAACACACACACAUAAUCUCCCUCCCAGCCGAACAUUGUGUGACUGAAGAUAGCGCACACACCAGAUCUCCUUUUCAGCUGAACGGGGCGUGACGACCAAGAACAGGCAUGGCAGGAUUCUACGAUGACGGACAGACAACAGAGCCAAUGCCGGAUGACUACACCCCAGCCUGAUCCAAUCUGAAGAUCCGAUCUCCUAGAUGUCAACCUACUUUCUGUUCUGUAUAUGAAGCUUGUACCCAUUGUUAGCUAGUGGCUUUUUUGCUAGUCUCUGAUGAGCUAACAGAGGGGCCCGUAUAUACGCUGUACCAGAUAUCUCCACUUUGAAAUAAACCUGUCGCUUGUCGUACAAUCUAC